GCACAAUUAGAGAGCCCUUGAAUUGUUGAAGCCAUUUUCUUCGUAAUUAAGAGGCUGGUGAAUUCGCAAAGUUCAUCCAUUUCAACAAGAGUUCUUUCAGGCGGAUGAAUGAUGAUCAAAGUGCCUGGAGCAACAUCACAUGGGGGAUUCCGACCCAAGAGCCCCUUGGAUUGAAAGUGAAAUGUGACGCAAAGCCAGUCCGUAGGAUAAGUGGAGUGGUGUUUGCCGUUGGCCAAGAAGGCACAAUCACCGCUGCUUCUUUGAUUCGGGACUCGUUUUUUUUUACCACGCCAAGAGACGAUGGAUGAUCAAGUGUUGGACGUGCUACCUCCAAAGCCAAGGAUGAUGUUGACACACUGACUGACUGAGAGAUGCUGAGAGAGGAAGCUACUCCUGUAGACGAGGAUGAUGGUGACAAGCC